rnacentral:rRNA from 1 species
CAGCAGCCGCGGUAAUACGGAGGGAGCUAGCGUUAUUCGGAAUUACUGGGCGUAAAGCGCACGUAGGCGGCUUUGUAAGUUAGAGGUGAAAGCCUGGAGCUCAACUCCAGAAUUGCCUUUAAGACUGCAUCGCUUGAAUCCAGGAGAGGUGAGUGGAAUUCCGAGUGUAGAGGUGAAAUUCGUAGAUAUUCGGAAGAACACCAGUGGCGAAGGCGGCUCACUGGACUGGUAUUGACGCUGAGGUGCGAAAGCGUGGGGAGCAAACAGGAUUAGAGACCCCCGUAGUCCCUGUCUCUUAUAA